GACGAACGCUGGCGGCGUGCCUAAUACAUGCAAGUAGAACGCACAGUUUAUACCGUAGCUUGCUACACCAUAAACUGUGAGUUGCGAACGGGUGAGUAACGCGUAGGUAACCUGCCUGGUAGCGGGGGAUAACUAUUGGAAACGAUAGCUAAUACCGCAUAAUAUUGAUUAUUGCAUGAUAAUUGAUUGAAAGAUGCUAUUGCAUCACUACCAGAUGGACCUGCGUUGUAUUAGCUAGUAGGUGAGGUAACGGCUCACCUAGGCGACGAUACAUAGCCGACCUGAGAGGGUGAUCGGCCACACUGGGACUGAGACACGGCCCAGACUCCUACAGGAGGCAGCAGUAGGGAAUCGUCGGCAAUGGACGAAAGUCUGACCGAGCAACGCCGCGUGAGUGAAGAAGGUUUUCGGAUCGUAAAGCUCGGUUGUAAGAGAAGAACGGGUGUGAGAGUGGAAAAUUCACACUGUGACGGUAUCUUACCAGAAAGGGACGGCUAACUACGUG
rnacentral:rRNA from 1 species